GGUUGUAUGGAGUAGUUGGUUAACUUAGGAGAUUCUGAUCUGAUGUGUCAUUCAGGCAUGACGAUACGAUUCGACUUCUCUUGCCCUGGGUUCGAAUCCCAGUACGACCU